rnacentral:rRNA from 1 species
CCUACGGGUGGCAGCAGUGGGGAAUAUUGCACAAUGGGGGAAACCCUGAUGCAGCGACGCCGCGUGAGUGAAGAAGUAUCUCGGUACGUAAAGCUCUAUCAGCAGGGAAGAUAAUGACGGGAGCUGACCAAGAAGCACCGGCUAACUACGGGCCAGCAGCCGCGGUAAUACGUAGGGGGCAAGCGUUCUCCGGCUUUACUGGGUGGAAAGGGGGCGCAGACGGCAAUGCAAGCCAGGAGUGAAAGCCCGGGGCCCAACCCCGGGACUGCUCUUGGAACUGCAAGGCUGGAGUACAGGAGGGGAUGGCGGAAUUCCUGGUGUAGGGGUGAAAUGCGUAGAUAUUAGGAGGAACACCGGUGGCGAAGGCGGCCUGCUGGCCUGUGACUGACGUUGAGGCCCGAAGGCGUGGGGAGCAAACAGGAUUAGAUACCCCAGUAGUC